rnacentral:rRNA from 1 species
GAUAAACGCUGGCGGCGUGCCUAAUACAUGCAAGUCGAGCGAACGGACGAGAAGCUUGCUUCUCUGAUGUUAGCGGCGGACGGGUGAGUAACACGUGGAUAACCUACCUAUAAGACUGGGAUAACUUCGGGAAACCGGAGCUAAUACCGGAUAAUAUUUUGAACCGCAUGGUUCAAAAGUGAAAGACGGUCUUGCUGUCACUUAUAGAUGGAUCCGCGCUGCAUUAGCUAGUUGGUAAGGUAACGGCUUACCAAGGCAACGAUGCAUAGCCGACCUGAGAGGGUGAUCGGCCACACUGGAACUGAGACACGGUCCAGACUCCUACGGGAGGCAGCAGUAGGGAAUCUUCCGCAAUGGGCGAAAGCCUGACGGAGCAACGCCGCGUGAGUGAUGAAGGUCUUCGGAUCGUAAAACUCUGUUAUUAGGGAAGAACAUAUGUGUAAGUAACUGUGCACAUCUUGACGGUACCUAAUCAGAAAGCCACGGCUAACUACGUGCCAGCAGCCGCGGUAAUACGUAGGUGGCAAGCGUUAUCCGGAAUUAUUGGGCGUAAAGCGCGCGUAGGCGGUUUUUUAAGUCUGAUGUGAAAGCCCACGGCUCAACCGUGGAGGGUCAUUGGAAACUGGAAAACUUGAGUGCAGAAGAGGAAAGUGGAACUCCAUGUGUAGCGGUGAAAUGCGCAGAGAUAUGGAGGAACACCAGUGGCGAAGGCGACUUCCUGGUCUGUAACUGACGCUGAUGUGCGAAAGCGUGGGGAUCAAACAGGAUUAGAUACCCUGGUAGUCCACGCCGUAAACGAUGAGUGCUAAGUGUUAGGGGGUUUCCGCCCCUUAGUGCUGCAGCUAACGCAUUAAGCACUCCGCCUGGGGAGUACGACCGCAAGGUUGAAACUCAAAGGAAUUGACGGGGACCCGCACAAGCGGUGGAGCAUGUGGUUUAAUUCGAAGCAACGCGAAGAACCUUACCAAAUCUUGACAUCCUUUGACAACUCUAGAGAUAGAGCCUUCCCCUUCGGGGGACAAAGUGACAGGUGGUGCAUGGUUGUCGUCAGCUCGUGUCGUGAGAUGUUGGGUUAAGUCCCGCAACGAGCGCAACCCUUAAGCUUAGUUGCCAUCAUUAAGUUGGGCACUCUAAGUUGACUGCCGGUGACAAACCGGAGGAAGGUGGGGAUGACGUCAAAUCAUCAUGCCCCUUAUGAUUUGGGCUACACACGUGCUACAAUGGACAAUACAAAGGGCAGCGAAACCGCGAGGUCAAGCAAAUCCCAUAAAGUUGUUCUCAGUUCGGAUUGUAGUCUGCAACUCGACUACAUGAAGCUGGAAUCGCUAGUAAUCGUAGAUCAGCAUGCUACGGUGAAUACGUUCCCGGGUCU